rnacentral:rRNA from 1 species
UACAGAGGGGGCAAGCGUUAUUCGGAAUUAUUGGGCGUAAAGGGCGCGUAGGCGGCCUGGCAAGUGGAAGAUGAAAUCCCUCGGCUUAACCGAGGAACUGCCUCCCAAACUGCUUGGCUUGAGACCAGGAGAGGUGAGUGGAAUUCCCAGUGUAGCGGUGAAAUGCGUAGAUAUUGGGAGGAACACCAGUGGCGAAGGCGGCUCACUGGACUGGUACUGACGCUGAGGCGCGAAAGCGUGGGGAGCGAACAGG